GGGCUUAUGGUCUAGGGGUAUGAUUUUCCCUUCGCAUCUUUAAUCUGACGAGUUCAGAGGAUCGAGCUUGGGAAAGGUCCGGGGUUCAAUUCCCCGUGAGUCCA
rnacentral:tRNA from 1 species